GACGAACGCUGGCGGCGUGCUUAACACAUGCAAGUCGAACGGAAAGGCCCUGCUUUUGUGGGGUGCUCGAGUGGCGAACGGGUGAGUAACACGUGAGUAACCUGCCCUUGACUUUGGGAUAACUUCAGGAAACUGGGGCUAAUACCGGAUAGGAGCUCCUGCUGCAUGGUGGGGGUUGGAAAGUUUCGGCGGUUGGGGAUGGACUCGCGGCUUAUCAGCUUGUUGGCGGGGUAGUGGCUUACCAAGGCUUUGACGGGUAGCCGGCCUGAGAGGGUGACCGGCCACAUUGGGACUGAGAUACGGCCCAGACUCCUACGGGAGGCAGCAGUGGGGAAUAUUGCACAAUGGGCGGAAGCCUGAUGCAGCAACGCCGCGUGCGGGAUGACGGCCUUCGGGUUGUAAACCGCUUUCGCCUGUGACGAAGCGUGAGUUACGGUAAUGGGUAAAGAAGCACCGGCUAACUACGUG
rnacentral:rRNA from 1 species